GGCGCUAUGGUGUAGUGGCAGCACAUGGGAUUCUGAUUGCAGGCUCUGAACUUAUUCCCAUAACCCAGGUUCGAACCCUGGUAGUGCCU